UAACUUAGUGGCGGACGGGUGAGUAACGCGUGGGUAACCUGCCGUAUACAGGGGGAUAACACUUAGAAAUAGGUGCUAAUACCGCAUAAGCGCACGGUUCCGCAUGGGACAGUGUGAAAAACCGAGGUGGUAUACGAUGGACCCGCGUCUGAUUAGCCAGUUGGCAGGGUAACGGCCUACCAAAGCGACGAUCAGUAGCCGGCCUGAGAGAGCGGACGGCCACAUUGGGACUGAGACACGGCCCAAACUCCUACGGAAGGCAGCAG
rnacentral:rRNA from 1 species